rnacentral:rRNA from 1 species
CCUACGGGAGGCAGCAGUAGGGAAUCUUCCACAAUGGACGAAAGUCUGAUGGAGCAACGCCGCGUGAGCGAUGAAGGCCUUCGGGUCGUAAAGCUCUGUUGUUAGGGAAGAACAAGUACCGGAGUAACUGCCGGUACCUUGACGGUACCUGACCAGAAAGCCACGGCUAACUACGUGCCAGCAGCCGCGGUAAUACGUAGGUGGCAAGCGUUGUCCGGAAUUAUUGGGCGUAAAGCGCGCGCAGGCGGUUCCUUAAGUCUGAUGUGAAAGCCCCCGGCUCAACCGGGGAGGGUCAUUGGAAACUGGGGAACUUGAGUGCAGAAGAGGAGAGCGGAAUUCCACGUGUAGCGGUGAAAUGCGUAGAGAUGUGGAGGAACACCAGUGGCGAAGGCGACUUUCUGGUCUGUAACUGACACUGAGGCGCGAAAGCGUGGGGAGCAAACAGGAUUAGAUACCCUGGUAGUCCACGCCGUAAACGAUGAGUGCUAAGUGUUAGAGGGUUUCCGCCCUUUAGUGCUGAAGUUAACGCAUUAAGCACUCCGCCUGGGGAGUACGGCCGCAAGGCUGAAACUCAAAGGAAUUGACGG